rnacentral:rRNA from 1 species
AGCUCCAAUAGGGUAUAUUAAAGUUGCUGCAGUUAAAAAGCUCGUAGUUGGAUCUCAGGGUACCUGGUCUAGCCGGUAUAGCUCACGCUUAAACUUGUCUGACCCCCUAACGUGAGGUAUUCGUCUCCGGGUGCACUUCACUGGGUGCUCGUGAGGUGCCUCGUAGUUACUGUGAAAAAAUUAGAGUGUUCAAAGCAGGCUCAUAUGUUCGGAUAGUCGCGCAUGGAAUAACUGAAUACGUGACUGGCGCUUUUCAGUUGGUCUCGGCGACUGGUCAAAUGAUUAAGAGGGACUGUCGGGGGCAUUGGUAUGGCGGGGUUAGAGGUGAAAUUCUUGGAUCCUCGCCAGACCAACAAAAGCGAAAGCAUUUGCCAAGAAUGUCUUCA